UACGAAGGGGGCUAGCGUUGCUCGGAAUCACUGGGCGUAAAGGGUGCGUAGGCGGGCCUUUAAGUCAGGGGUGAAAUCCUGGAGCUCAACUCCAGAACUGCCUUUGAUACUGAGGAUCUUGAGUUCGGGAGAGGUGAGUGAAACUGCGAGUGUAGAGGUGAAAUUCGUAGAUAUUCGCAAGAACACCAGUGGCGAAGGCGGCUCACUGGCCCGAUACUGACGCUGAUGCACGAAAGCGUGGGGAGCAAACAGG
rnacentral:rRNA from 1 species